UUUUAACCCCCCCCCCCCCCCUAUAACUUAGGGGUAUGAAAAAUAAAUGUUGGCCGAUUCUCAGACCUACCAGAUUUCCAGAGACCAGCCGUUUCGUAGGAGUAUGGUAAAUAACAUUGUGACACGAGAAUUUUGUAUAUAAGAAUUUCUGACAUUACAUUAUGCGUAUGAUAUUAAUAAAUUGACACAACCUUAACGCAACACUCCCAUUGGAAUAGGAAGUUUAAUAAUGACAAAAGAAAAACAAAAAAAAACCGCGCGCGAUCUCAAGCAACAGACGCAAUAAUCCAACGAGAAUUAACAAGAGCUCUGCAAAGUUUAAAUAGGCGAGUAAGAGGUAUGAGAGUUCACAAUUGCGGUUGAUUUUAUCAGCUUUUUUUUCUUUUUUGGAUAUUUAAUUAUUCCCUCUUUGGUGACUGGAGCUAAUGAUGUUAUAACUAUUUUAGUACUGCUGGUUAAUUGUAUCGCCUUUAUUUGUAUUACGAGUUGGUAUAGGAAAAAUUUUCAGGAAUGUUUUUUUUUUAAGAAUUUUGCUUCCUUUGUAUGUUUGUAGAUUAUAAUUUUAUUAUUGUUUGUAUGACACCGAAGUCGUAAUUAUGAAUUUGUAAUGUAAA